UCUCGCAUCAGGAAUUUGUAACGUGCCAUAUUUUUACCAAUGGGUAUAUCUGGAGAACUAAAUGUCACCACGGAACAGGGCAAUUUCAAGUUUUUGAAAAUGCCAGCGGUUUAUGCAGCCGCACCUUUCAUCGGAGAUUUCUUGUCGCUGCGUUUUGCCAUUGAAGCUUCAUCCUAGGACUGGAUUGGCCGCUAAUGGUCCCAGCUGUGCGAUUUCGUUAGCUCUCGGAGACUGCAGUUGUCGUUGAUCCAUUGAAGGAGCCUACAUACAGUAACCUACAGGGAAAAAACGGCGUAAUGAUGUGCGAGGUGAUGCCCACCAUCAGCGAGGACACGGCGCUGAGCCAGCGGGGCUCCCAGAGCAGCGCCUCGGACCCAGACUCCCACUUUGAGCAGCUGAUGGUCAACAUGCUGGAUGAGAGAGACCGCCUGUUGGACACGCUGAGGGAGACCCAGGAGAGCCUGGGGCUGUCCCAGCAGCACCUGGAGGACGUUAUCUACGACCGGGACUCACUGCAGCGCCAGCUCAGCUCCGCCCUGCCACAGGAGUUUGCAGCCCUGACCAAGGAGCUGAACGUGUGCAGAGAGAACCUUCUGGAGAAGGAGGAGGAGAUCUCCGAGCUCAAGGCCGAGAGGAAUAACACCAGGUUGCUUCUGGAGCAUCUGGAGUGCCUGGUGUCCAGGCAUGAGCGGUCACUACGAAUGACCGUGGUCAAGCGGCAGGCCCAGUCUCCCUCAGGCGUGUCCAGUGAGGUGGAGGUCCUCAAAGCGCUCAAGUCCCUGUUCGAGCACCACAAAGCCCUAGACGAGAAGGUGAGGGAGAGACUGCGGGUGUCGCUAGAGAGGGUCUCGGCAUUGGAGGAGGAGCUAACAUCAGCCAACCAGGAGAUUGUGGCCUUACGGGAGCAGAAUGCCCACAUCCAGAGGAAGGUGGCAUCAGGGGACGGGUCAGAGGACAUACUGGAGGGAACUGAUGCCAGCCAGAAGGUACAUAGCAAGCGCCUGUCCAACGGCUCCAUGGAGUCGGCCCAUGAGGCGGGCCAGGUGGUGGAGCUGCAGGACCUGCUGGAGAAGCAGAACUAUGAGCUGGCCCAGAUGAAGGAGCGCAUGUCUUCCCUCUCGUCCCGCGUCUCCGAGGUGGAGCAGGAGCUGGACACCGCGCGCAAGGACCUCAUCAAGACAGAGGAGAUGAGUACCAAGUACCAGAGGGACAUCAAAGAGGUGAGGAGAGAGGCUAUGUGUCAGAAGGAGGACAUGGAAGAGAGGAUCGUCACUCUGGAGAAGCGGUACCUCAGCGCCCAGAGAGAGUCCACCUCUCUGCACGACAUCAGUGACAAACUGGAGAAUGAGCUGGCCAAUAAGGAAGCCUUCCUCAGACAGAUGGAGGAUAAGAACAGGCAGCUGCUGGAGCGUUUGGAGCUAGCAGAGCAGAAGCUGCAGCAGACCAUGAGAAAGGCUGAGACCCUGCCAGAGGUGGAGGCUGAACUGGCCCAGAGGAUAGCAGCACUCACCAAGGCGGAGGAGCGCCACGGCAGCAUCGAGGAACGCAUGAGGCACCUGGAGGGCCAGCUGGAGGAGAAGCACCAGGAGCUGCUCAGAGCUCGGCAGAGAGAAAAGAUGAACGAGGAACACAACAAGCGCCUGUCGGACACGGUGGACAGACUUCUCACAGAGUCCAACGAACGUCUUCAGCUCCACCUGAAAGAGAGGAUGGCUGCUCUGGAAGAGAAGAAUGUUUUAAUACAAGACUCGGAAGGCUACAGAAAACAGUACGAGGAUUCAAUCCAUGAAAAAACUCAUCUGGCAGAUGAGAUAGACAAGCUGAGAUCAGAGUUGGACCAGUUCCGACUGAGAACAGGCUCACUCACAGAACCCACUCUGUCACGGUAUGGGUCUCACCUGGACACGUCGGGGGAGCUCCGCUUCUCCCUGGGCUCCCUGGCUGAGACCCAGUCAGACCACUACCGGUCAGCCAAGGUCAUCCGCAGGCCCAGGAGAGGACGCAUGGGUCUCCGCAGGGACGAGAGCAAGGCUAAGUCACUGGGGGAGCACGAGUGGCGCUCUCAGCAGCUAGGCAUCCUGGGUAGCCACCCCUUUGAGAGUGAGAUGUCUGACAUGUCGGACAUUGAUGACGAUGACCGGGAGACCAUGUUCAGCUCCAUGGACCUGCUGUCCCCCGGCGGUCACUCAGAUGCCCAGACCCUAGCCAUGAUGCUGCAGGAGCAGCUGGACGCCAUUAACAAAGAGAUACGACUGAUCCAGGAGGAGAAGGAGUCGACAGAGCUGCGGGCGGAGGAGAUAGAGAACCGUGUGGCCAGCGUCAGCCUGGAGGGUCUCAACCUCGCCCGUAUGCACCACCCAGGAGCCUCCAUCACCGCCUCGGCCACCGCCUCCUCCCUGGCCUCUUCCUCCCCGCCCAGCGGACACUCCACCCCCAAGCUGGACCACCGCAGCACCACAGACAUGGAGCGCAUGGGUAUCAUGACACUGCCCAGUGAUCUGAGGAAACACAGGAGAAAGAUUGCGGCCACCGACGAUGACGGCCAGGACAAGGCUACCAUCAAGUGUGAGACGUCCCCUCCCCCCACGCCCCGGACCGUACGCAUGACCCGCACACUGCCAGCCUCCUCACACAACGAGGCCCGAGGCAUUGCUGCCAGCCUGGAGGCAGAGGCCAGUGCUCUGAGCAGCGUAGCCAGCAGUCAGGACUCCAUCAACAAGCAGCCCAAGAAGAAGGGCAUCAAGUCCUCCAUCGGACGCCUGUUUGGCAAGAAGGAGAAGACCAGACUGGCACAGCUGCAUGCCCACAGGGAGGCCAUCGGGCAGAGCCAAGGAGUGUCUGAUCCAGACCUGGGUCAGGACAUGGCUGUGGGGAAGCUGGGGACUCAGGCUGAGAAAGACCGCCGGCUGAAAAAGAAAAGCGGGCACGAGCUGUUGGAAGAGGCGAGGAGGAAAGGCUUACCUUUCGCCCAAUGGGACGGCCCCACAGUGGUGGCCUGGCUGGAGUUGUGGCUGGGGAUGCCCGCCUGGUACGUGGCGGCAUGUCGUGCCAACGUGAAGAGCGGUGCCAUCAUGUCUGCCCUGUCAGACACAGAGAUCCAGAGGGAGAUCGGCAUCAGUAACCCCCUGCACCGCCUCAAACUACGCCUGGCCAUCCAGGAGAUGGUCUCCCUUACCAGUCCUUCUGCCCCGCCAACCUCCAGAACCCCGUCAGGCAAUGUAUGGGUGACCCACGAGGAACUGGAGACCCUCGCAGCACCCUCCUCGAAAACGAGGUCCGGGGAGUCCGAGGAGGGGAGCUGGGCGCAGACUCUAGCGUAUGGUGACAUGAACCAUGAGUGGAUAGGGAACGAGUGGUUGCCCAGUCUAGGACUACCUCAGUACCGCAGCUACUUCAUGGAGUGCCUGGUGGACGCACGCAUGCUGGACCACCUCACCAAGAAGGACCUCCGGGUGCAUCUCAAAAUGGUGGACAGCUUUCACAGGACGAGUUUGCAGUAUGGUAUCAUGGGUCUGAAGAAGCUCAACUAUGACAGGAAAGAGCUGGAGAGACGCAGAGAGCACAGCCAGCAUGAAAUGAGAGACGUGCUGGUGUGGAGCAACGAGCGGGUGAUUCGCUGGGUCCAGAGCAUCGGCCUAAAGGACUAUGCCAACAUCCUGCUGGAGAGUGGCGUGCACGGGGCCCUGGUCGCCCUCGACGACAACUUUGACCACACCAGCCUGGCGCUGCUCAUCCAGAUCCCCAACCAAAGCACUCAGGCACGUCAGAUUCUGGAGAGAGAAUAUAAUAACCUGCUAGCCCUGGGCACUGAGAGACGACUGGACGAGUAUGAAGAUAAUGACCUCCGGGGGCCAUCGUGGAGGAGGCAGUUCCCCCCGCGGGACGUCCACGGGAUCAGUAUGAUGCCCGGCUCGGCAGAGACCCUCCCCGCUGGCUUCCGCGUCACCACCGGCUCACACUCCCGUAGGCUACCCCCCGAAGUGCUCUAUGAGGCGCUGGAUGAUAGUCCUGACGACAUGUAUUUGGACUGGUUUCAAGGUCAGAUAUACUGGAGCUAUACCAUGUGGCCUGCUGUUGGCCUGUGUGCCUUUACGCCCCCCCAAAACUCCCCGGUUCCUGCUGUCCACCCUACCGUACCUCCUCUCUUCUCCAACUGUCUUCACUCGCUACCUCUACUGCUCUGUUCCUCUGUUUCGUUCUGCCCUUGAAGCCAACUACAAGGGUGGCCAUUUGUUUGUCAAGGUUGUCAGUUUGUUAUAGUAGACAUGUUGUGUGUCAAGUAAUUGUUACUGAGGUUACUGUUGUUAGUUGCAGUUUCUUCUGCUGCACCCUUGAAGUUAAAGCAAUGAAUCCCCUAUACAUAUGUUGGUUGAGCUACGUUAGUUGCCCUGUAAAAGGAGGUUUACAUAAAAGAAUCAUAAAGAUUUAUGAUGGAUAAGAUGGAUAUUUUACAGUUGCCGGUUUGUGUCGCUCAUCGCCCUGUUGUUAAAAGAGGACGCUGGUCAAAAUGUUCACGUUUUCAAGGGGAUGUGAGAUGUAUUGAAACUUGCGUCUGUGAUUGUGGCCCAGUGAGUUACAGCCGGACUGUAGUACAGUAGGCUGCAAUAUGUCAGAACUCACUCCGGAAUUAUGGACGCAACUUCUGAUACAAUUAAGUCUAUCGCUGACAUCCGAUUGCAGGUUUUGACCAGAGUUCUUCUCUAACACUCUGUCCCCAGUGUAAUCGAGCUGCCUUCCUGUAUCUGCCUCUAUCUGUGGUCCCUGGUCUGUGGUGGUGAUGACAUUAACAGACUCGUUCCUGUACGAGGUGUGAUUCACUCAAAAUGGCCACGUGCACUCCUCCUCUGAGUGUGCGAUGCAAUGUGCCUUGGCUUUGCUAGCUGACAUUUUGACUAACCUCGUUCCCGUGUGUGGUGCGUGUGUGUGCAGUGUGUUGUAUCCACAGUAUGGUCUACUGUACUCCUAGCCCUUAUCAACUGGUUUAGAGUCCGUUUUGUUUGUCUCUCUCAUUUGUUUGUCCCUCUCACAGUGGACAAUGGGAGCUGAUCCUGUGUCAGUUGUUAUGGGCAUAAAUUGGCCCCUUAGCAGUGCAGCGUCUGGACAGCUCUACAGUGAGGACCUACUCCUGCUGAGGGAGGAGAAGAGAGACUGUAAGCU